CGCCCCCCUCAGCGGGGCCCCGCAGCUCCAGCAGCAGCGCCCGGCCGCCUGGGAUCGGGCCCGCCUCGGAGGCCCCGCGCGCAACGCCCGCCGCCACAUCCGCUCAGGCAGGCAGGCAGGCAGGCAGGCAGGCGGGCGCCCCGCCCCGCGCAGGCGCAAGGCCCAAAGCGGGGAGGAGGCGCGGAAGGGCUCCCGGCGCUACAGCCUCAUGUCCCACGGGGAGUCGUCGCCCCCGCGGGCGGCCGGGACGCAGUCGAGCCAGCCGCCGUCAGGCUCCUUGAACAGCUCUUCCUCGGGCACGCUCAGCUCCCUGGAGACCCUCCCCGCGCACGACCUGCCCGCCAUCCCCGAGGAGCAGGAGGCGGAGGCGGCGGAGGCGCCUCGGCCGUGGGGACAGCUCUUCGGCCUGGCCGGGGGCUUUGCCGACUGCGUCUGCUUGAAGAACGAGUACUGGUUUGGCCGCGAUCCCGGCUGCGACUACAGCUUUUCCGGGCUGGAUCUGCCCAGGAACGAAACCUACCGGCAGUACAGCAAAAAGCAUUUCCGCAUUUUUAGAGAACCGGGGCCUCGGGGCUGCUUUGUGACUUACCUGGAAGACCAAAGUGCAAAUGGGACCUUUGUCAAUGACCACCUGGUGGGCAAGGGCAAGAAGAUUCCUCUGGCCCACGUGGCCAAAAUUGCCCUUUCUCUGCCUCACAACAAAGUAUUUAUGUUCUUUGACCUGGAUGCCGGGCAUCAGCUGGAAUACCCCAAGGAAAUGCAGAAGAAAUACAUCGUCUCAAAGAGGCUGGGCAGUGGGGCCUGUGGAGAGGUGAAGUUGGCCUUUGAAAGGGACACCCAUAGGAAAGUUGCCAUAAAAAUCAUAAAGAAAUCAAAGUUUAUGACUGACGUUUUGCCAGAAACACAGAACAAGCCCUUUAACAUUGAGACAGAAGUGGGGAUCUUGAAGAGGAUCAACCACCCUUGCCUAAUCAAGAUAAUAGAUUUCUUUGAAGGAAAAGACUUUUACAUUGUGUUGGAAUUGAUGGAAGGUGGGGAACUGUUUGACAAGGUUCAGCGACCAGCACGGCUCAGUGAAAAAACUUGCAAACUUUAUUUUUACCAGAUGUUGUUGGCUGUGCAGUACCUUCACAAACAUGGCAUAAUUCAUCGGGAUUUGAAAUUGGAGAAUGUGCUUUUAUCAUCUAGGGAAGAGAACUGCCUUGUCAAGAUUACAGAUUUUGGGCAAUCCAAGAUCAUUGGAGAAACUUCUCUUAUGCAAACAUUAUGUGGCACUCCUGACUACCUAGCUCCAGAGAUUCUAAAUUUUGCUGGAACAGCUGGAUAUGGACGGUCUGUGGACUGCUGGAGUCUUGGAGUGAUUCUCUUUAUGUGCCUUUCUGGCUACCCACCUUUCUCCAAGAAAAGUGCCUGUCUCUCUCUGACACAGCAGAUCACCAGCGGCAACUACUGUUUCGUUGAAGAAGUAUGGAAAGAUGUGUCCAGAGAUGGUAUGGCAGUGCUUCUCAAGGAACUGGGAGGACACAGAGACGGGGAUUUGCAGCCUUCCCAACCUUGGAAUCUCAUUCCGAGUGAACCUCCAAGGAAGGGCCCUGCAGAGGCACCCAGGCCUCCCUGUCCUGAAGAGACCUGAGUGGGAACUUUAGACAUUGCCACUGAUUAGUACUGUUACCUUGAGAAGCUUUUGACCUGGUUCAGAAGUUGCUAGUUGUGGACCCCACCAGGCGCUUGAAAAUAGAAGAGGCCUUGGAGCAUUCCUGGCUGCAGGAUGAACAUAUGAGGCAUACUUUUCAACAGUUACUUGCUCAAACACAGGACGUGAG